AGGUUGAUCUUGUGGAUCAUUAUGGAAAGAGGUUGGAAGACAUAGAACAGAAUGUGAGAUUGGAGCAAUCUGAUUUGUCAUUGGCAGAUGUAUGUGCUGCUGUUUUCACUUCACUCCUUUCAAUAAUCUUUCCUUUUUCCUUUUAUGUUAUGUAAUCUUUAUUUUUACAUCUUGUUUGACAAUUCAAAGAGACAUUCAUGAAGGUGUUGGAUCCUUUAUAGCUUUUAUAUGCAUUACAUUCAUCAAAUUUAUUAACAUCUAACAUUCAGCAGGUUCAGCAAUGCAUUGAUAUCCAUCUUAGGUAAUUGUACUAUUGAUGCUUCAACAUGUUCGCACUCUCUAUGAUAGAAGGAAACUCAUACAUGUGUGUCAGUGGCCUACCUUUUUUCUACUAGACUCAAAAUCAUACAUGAGUGUGUCAAGUGCAUGCUUGUGACCUUUUGGGAGUUAUUAUUUGGGAUUUAUUAGCAUUACAGUUUUAUAAUUCAGUUUACAUUAUAUCUAUUCUUAUGGUAGUUACCAUUGUGCAGUCAAUGAAAAGGUUUUUGCCUAGCCUAUUUAUCUUGCGAAAUAGGAUGACAAUAUAAUAGACAUGGUGAUGUCCAUAAUAUAUAUUUUUCUUUUUUGCUUUGCUUGGGUUGUUUGAUUAUUUGUCAUUUUGAUUAAGUUCUUUAGGUUUCCCACCUUUUGAAAUGUUAUAUGGUGCAUUGGAUUAGACUAAAUUGCUUCUCUGUGCACAAGGAAACUCGAGCUGCCUUUGUGUCCUUCAAAUCU
rnacentral:misc_RNA from 1 species